GAAGCAGCCAUCAUUUAAAGAAAGCGUAAUAGCUCACUGGUCGAGUCGGCCUGCGCGGAAGAUGUAACGGGGCUAAACCAUGCACCGAAGCUGCGGCAGCGACGCUUAUGCGUUGUUGGGUAGGGGAGCGUUCUGUAAGCCGUUGAAGGUGUGCUGUGAGGCAUGCUGGAGGUAUCAGAAGUGCGAAUGCUGACAUAAGUAACGAUAAAGCGGGUGAAAAGCCCGCUCGCCGGAAGACCAAGGGUUCCUGUCCAACGUUAAUCGGG
rnacentral:rRNA from 1 species